UGGGGAAUAUUGGACAAUGGGCGAAAGCCUGAUCCAGCCAUGCCGCGUGUGAAGAAGGCCUUUUGGUUGUAAAGCACUUUAAGUGGGGAGGAAAAGCUUAUGGUUAAUACCCAUAAGCCCUGACGUUACCCACAGAAUAAGCACCGGCUAACUCUGUGCCAGCAGCCGCGGUAAUACAGAGGGUGCAAGCGUUAAUCGGAAUUACUGGGCGUAAAGCGCGCGUAGGUGGUUAUUUAAGUCAGAUGUGAAAGCCCCGGGCUUAACCUGGGAACUGCAUCUGAUACUGGAUAACUAGAGUAGGUGAGAGGGGAGUAGAAUUCCAGGUGUAGCGGUGAAAUGCGUAGAGAUCUGGAGGAAUACCGAUGGCGAAGGCAGCUCCCUGGCAUCAUACUGACACUGAGGUGCGAAAGCGUGGGUAGCAAACAGGAUUAGAUACCCUGGUAGUCCACGCCGUAAACGAUGUCUACCAGUCGUUGGGUCUUUUAAAGACUUAGUGACGCAGUUAACGCAAUAAGUAGACCGCCUGGGGAGUACGGCCGCAAGGUUA
rnacentral:rRNA from 1 species